UACAGAGGUCUCGAGCGUUAGGCGGAAUCACUGGGCUUAAAGCGUGUGUAGGCGGAUUGGUAAGUACUUUGUGAAAUCCCACGGCUUAACCGUGGAACUGCUUGGUAUACUGCCAGUCUUGAGCCAGCUAGGGGCUACCGGAACAAAUGGUGGAGCGGUGAAAUGCGUUGAUAUCUACAGGAACUCCGGUGGCGAAAGCGGCGUGCUGGACCUUUUCUGACGCUGAGGCGCGAAAGCUAGGGGAGCAAACGGG
rnacentral:rRNA from 1 species